rnacentral:rRNA from 1 species
AACACGUAUGAGACCUGCCCGUAGCAGGGGGGGAUAAGCGGAAGAAAUUCCGUCUAAUACCGCGUAACAACCCUUGGAGGCACCUCCUCGGGUUUAAAGGAAGCGAUUCCGGCUACGGAUGGUCAUGCGUCGCAUUAGCUGGUUGGCGGGGUAACGGCCCACCAAGGCGACGAUGCGUAGGGGUUCUGAGAGGAAGGUCCCCCACACUGGUACUGAGACACGGACCAGACUCCUACGGGAGGCAGCAGUGAGGAAUAUUGGUCAAUGGCCGCAGGGCUGAACCAGCCAAGUCGCGUGAGGGAUGACGGUCCUAUGGAUUGUAAACCUCUUUUGUCAGGGAGCAAAGGGCGCCACGUGUGGCGCUUUGCGAGUACCUGAAGAAAAAGCAUCGGCUAACUCCGUGCCAGCAGCCGCGGUAAUACGGAGGAUGCGAGCGUUAUCCGGAUUUAUUGGGUUUAAAGGGUGCGCAGGCGGAAUGUCAAGUCAGCGGUAAAAUUUCGGGGCUCAACCCCGUCGUGCCGUUGAAACUGGCGUUCUUGAGUGAGCGAGAAGUAUGCGGAAUGCGUGGUGUAGCGGUGAAAUGCAUAGAUAUCACGCAGAACUCCGAUUGCGAAGGCAGCAUACCGGCGCUCAACUGACGCUCAUGCACGAAAGCGUGGGU